rnacentral:rRNA from 1 species
GACGAACGCUGGCGGCGCGCUUAACACAUGCAAGUCGAGCGAAGCGGCGGACGGGUGAGUAACACGUGAGUAACCUGCCUUAGCCAUUGGGAUAGCCUCGGGAAACCGGGAUUAAUACCAAAUGGUCUAAGAUGGACUCGCGUCCCAUUACCUAGUUGGUGAGGUAACGGCCCACCAAGGCGAGGAUGGGUAGCCGGCCGGAGAGGUUGAACGGCCACAUGGGAACGGAGAAACGGUCCAAACUCUACGGGAGGGAGCAGUGUGGAAUAUUGCACAAUGGAGGGAACUCUGAUGCUGCGACGCCGCGUGAACUAAGAAGGCUUUCGAGUCGUAAAGUUCUUUUAUAUGGCAAGCGGUACUAUAAGAAAAAGCCCCGGCUAACUACGUGCCAGCAGGCGCGGUAAUAC